AGUCGCGUGGUCUAAUGGUUAUGAUUUCUCGUUCACAUAUAUGUGUUCACUCUGUAUAGAUCCGAGAAGGUUCCGUGUUCGAUCCACGGCGUGACUA